CCAAUAGCGUAUAUUAAAGUUGUUGCAGUUAAAAAGCUCGUAGUUGAAUUUCGGGAUCAAUAUGUCGGUCGUGCCUCGGUACGUACUGGCGUCAUUGGUUUCUCCCUUCUGAAGAACCUUGAUGUCAUUAAUUUGGUGUCUUGGGGAAUCAGGACUGUUACUUUGAAAAAAUUAGAGUGUUUAAAGCAGGCUCGCGCUUGAAUACAUUAGCAUGGAAUAAUGAAAUAGGACGUUUGAUUCUAUUUUGUUGGUUUCUAGGAUCGACGUAAUGAUUAAUAGGGAUAGUUGGGGGCAUUAGUAUUCAAUUGUCAGAGGUGAAAUUCUUGGAUUUAUUGAAGACUAACUACUGCGAAAGCAUUUGCCAAGGAUGUUUUCAUUAAUCAAGAACGAAAGUUAGGGGAUCGAAGACGAUCAGAUACCGUCGUAGUCUUAACCAUAAACUAUGCCGACUAGGGAUCGGAUGAUGUUGAUUUUUUAAUGACUCAUUCGGCGCCUUAC
rnacentral:rRNA from 1 species